GGUAAACUGCGGUCAACGAGUGGAGACUACAACGACGAAAUUAAAUACUCCGCGUGCAGAGGGUGGUAUAGCAGCUAUCGCAGCAGCCGUUAUUAUUACUGCAUUAUCAACGAGUGGUUGGCGUAUGUGUGUGUGAUAAGCACAAGUGCGGUGCAACAAGUAAAUUCUACUCACUUCAAAUCGACCACCGUCCUAGUGUAGUAAUCGUAGCAGUCGGAAUAACGGUCGGUAGACGACGUGCUGACGUCCAUUUGUCGACAAGGCACGGGAUAAAGCGGCGUUCGACCCGCCGAACGCUAACAAUAUUAUCGUUCGUACGACGACUAUCGCGACGACACUCGUUCGACUCGUUUCGUCGUGCGCCGCACAAUACGAUUUUAUUAAUCUAAGGGACGCGAUGAAUACGAUGCGCACACUGAUCGAUUGGCACGUAAAAACGAUUAUUAUAAAUAUUGCACGGAAAUAAAAAAAAUAAAUAAAUAAAACCAACUCGGAAAUCGAACGGACGUCAAUAACUAACGGGCCAAACGACCAUCGCACUCGACACCGACGGACGGACUGCCGACCGACACGAAGAAUAAAAACAACGACACAACCGGAUUCGGUGCGCUGGAGGGACGCGAAUCGGAAUUCGUGGUGAACAGGCGCGGCAGUGGUGUCGGUGGUGGUGGUAGUGGCGGCGACGACCGAUGUGUCUCUGGUGGUGGCGGGGCCGGUGCUCUCGCAUCCUGCUGCCGCCGCACCGCUCGACGUUUGAGCGAGCGAUAAUUAGGGGUUACCAAACUGCAGACGGACGGACGUAUGCGCGCGCAAUCAGCCAGGCGUAACCGUCCGCCCGCCAGCAGGCUGCGUUUUCGACGUACGGGUUUCGGGCGCGUCGCUAACAUCCUAUCAGUAAAUCGUUCGCACCACUGCGAUAAAAAUACACGAGUGUGUAAAUUUGUUGUACUGUGAGUACUGACUACUGAGUGUACAACGUACUGUAUUAUUAUUAUAUUAUAUAAUUUUAAAUAUUUUACACGACACUCGUAUUUUUUUAGUACUCAUCAUGACAGCCCAUUGGGAUUUAAAUGAUUUAAUAUGUUUUGCAGUGAGUUAAUGAUUUUUGGAAAAA